GGGUCAGUAGGUUGGUCGUGCCACCGGUACGUACUGGUCUCACUGAUUCUUCCUUCCUGAAGAACCGUAAUGCCAUUAAUUUGGUGUUGCGGGGGAACAGGACUGUUACUUUGAAAAAAUUAGAGUGUUUAAAGCAAGCUAACGCUUGAAUACAUUAGCAUGGAAUAAUGAAAUAGGACGAUCGAUCCUAUUUUGUUGGUUUCUAGGAUUGACGUA
rnacentral:rRNA from 1 species